AUUGAACGCUGGCGGAAUGCUUUACACAUGCAAGUCGAACGGCAGCACGGGAGCUUGCUCCUGGUGGCGAGUGGCGAACGGGUGAGUAACAUAUCGGAACGUACCCAGUCGUGGGGGAUAACUAUCCGAAAGGAUAGCUAAUACCGCAUACGUCCUGAGGGAGAAAGCGGGGGAUCACAAGACCUCGCGCGAUUGGAGCGGCCGAUAUCGGAUUAGCUAGUUGGUGGGUAAAGGCUCACCAAGGCGACGAUCCGUAGCGGGUCUGAGAGGACGACCCGCCACACUGGAACUGAGACACGGUCCAGACUCCUACGGGAGGCAGCAGUGGGGAAUUUGGACAAUGGGGGGCAACCCUGAUCCAGCCAUUCCGCGUGAGUGAAGAAGGCCU
rnacentral:rRNA from 1 species